rnacentral:rRNA from 1 species
AUGCGGAGAGUUUGAUCCUGGCUCAGGAUGAACGUUGGCGGCGUGCCUAAUACAUGCAAGUCGAACGAAGAGCUCAAAGUAGCAAUACUUUGAUCACUCUUAGUGGCGAACGGGUGAGUAACGCGUUGGUGAUCUGCCCCAAAGAGAGGGAUAACAGCCCGAAAGGUUGCUAAUACCUCAUGUGAUCAUUUGUUUUAGAAACUUAUGAUUAAAGGAGCUUGCUCCACUUUGGGAGGAGCCUGCGUCCCAUCAGCUAGUUGGUAGGGUAAUGGCCUACCAAGGCUAUGACGGGUAGGGGACCUGAGAGGGUGGCCCCCCACAAUGGAACUGAAACACGGUCCAUACACCUACGGGUGGCAGCAGUAGGGAAUAUUGGUAAUCUGCGAAAGCGGGAACCAGCAACGCCGCGUGCGCGAUGACGGCCUCGGGUUGUAAAGCGCUUUUCAAGAGGAAGAGGAAGGACUGUACUCUUGGAAUAAGUCUCGGCUAACUACGUGCCAGCAGCCGCGGUAACACGUAGGAGGCUAACGUUAUCCGGAUUUACUGGGCGUAAAGCGCGUGCAGGCGGUUCGGUAAGUUGGACGUGAAAGCUCCUGGCUCAACUGGGAGAGGUCGUUCAAUACUGUCGGACUAGAGGAUGGUAGAGGGAGGUGGAAUUCCGGGUGUAGUGGUGAAAUGCGCAGAUAUCCGGAGGAACACCAGUGGCGAAAGCGGCCUCCUGGACCAUUCCUGACGCUCAGACGCGAAAGCUAGGGUAGCAAACGGGAUUAGAGACCCCGGUAGUCCUAGCUGUAAACGAUGUGAACUUGGCGUCGGUGGGAUUAAAUCCAUCGGUGU